GAAGAUAGUAUAAAUAUAAACCACAGCUGUAACUGAGGGAAGGCCCAUUGUUACUAAUCUCAGGAGAGGCCGUUUAUCCAUACCUGAAGCUACAGGAGAGCGAGGCAGGUCUUCCCCUGGGCUCCUAUUGCCAUUAGGCAGAUUUUCUUCUGGUGUUCACUAACGGUGUGAUCUCCUUCUGGACUCCAGCAGAGGUUUCAGUUUAGGUGCACGAUUUGCUCUUAUUCUGGGCCAAGGCAUCAUCUCUGUUACCUAAGUUCUACAAGAGACCAAAUAAAAGGAAGCUCAUAGCAGCAGCCAGAAACAAGUCCCGAGAAACCAAAGCUAUGAUAACUGGAAACAUCUGUGUCAAUUUUUCAGCGACCACGAAAACAGACCAGGAGUUUGCAGGGAGCAUGAGCUGUGCUUGUUACCAGAUAUCCUGCAGUUGGCUGCCUGGCUUCAUAGCUUUUUUUGAACUUGGGAGACUUCAAGCCUCAGCUGAGGAAUCCUUGAUGCCCCCAUUGUCUUGUCUUGCUAAAAUGUACAAGAAACUUGCAGAGCUCAACCCUUCAGGCUUAAAAUUUUCCCAGGUCUCUUCAUGAGGUUGCAGUCAAGAUGUCAGGGGAGCUGCAGUCAUCUGAAGGCUUGACCACAGGUGGAGGAUCCACUUCCAAGAUGGCUCACUCACAUGGCUGCUGGCAGGAAAUAUCAUUUCCUCAUUGGCUUUCGGCUGGAGGCCCACUUCCUAGCUUCUCCAUGGAUGACUAUCCUUAUGACUUGGCAUCUAUCUUCCUCCAGAGCAGAUGGGAGUCACUAAUUCCAGUCCACACUCAGUCAGAAGAGAAUUUGGAUCCACCUCUUGAAGGGAGAAGCAUCAAAGAAUUUGUGGGCAUUUUAAAACCACCACAAACCUUUUGUUAAUUUUUUAAAUAUCUACAGGAUAUGAUAUUGAUUGUUCUUUCUUACUUUUUUUUAAAAAAGUCUUACUGGGUUUAUAAAUUUAAUUAAUCUUUUCAAAGAAUCCACUUUUGGUUUAUUGAUGCUCUCCCAUGUAUGUUUGUUUUCUAUUUCAUCAAAUUCUCUCAUCUUCAUUAUUUCCUUCUUUCUUCCUGUUUUGCAUUUAUGUUGCUGUUCUUUUACUAACUGUUUGAGAUAGAUCCUUAAUUGAUUUUUAGUCUUAAUUCCUUCUAAUAUAAUAUUUUAAGAUUAUGUAUUUCCUCCUAAGCAUGGUUUUAAAGGUAUCCUAUAAGAUUUGAUAUAUUCAUUAUUAUAUAGUUCAAGCUAUUUCAAUUUUCUUUCUGAUUUAUUUUUUGGUCCACAGUAUAUUUAGAAGUGUGUUGCUUAAUUUUUAAGAAUUUAGUGAUAUUCUAGUUAUGAUUCAUUGUUUGUUUUCAGCUUAAUUACCCUGUGGUCAGAGAACAUGCUUUGUAUGAUUUCAAUAAUCAUACAGAUAAUUUGUGAUAUGGCCCAGCCUUUCCAAUUUUGGUUAAUGUUCCAUUUACAUUUGGGAAAAAUGAGUGCUCUUCAGGUGCUGUGUGUAGUGCUUGUUAAAAUGUCAAUUAGGGCAAGUUAGUCAGUCAUGUUACUCACAUCCUAUGCCUCAUUACUGAUUUUGUAUAUGCUUAUUUUAUUAGUUAUUAAGAAAGGUUAAAAUCUUUCUCUGUGAUUGUGUAUUUAUUAUAUCUAUAAUUUUUGUUGUUCUCUAUGUUUUUUACUUUAUAUAACAACUAGGUGGAAAACUUUUGGAUUGUUACAUCUUUUUGAUGCCUGGGACCCUUUGUCAUUAUAAAGUGUCUAUAUUUUUAACAUUUCUUUUAGUAUGGCCUAGAAAUUAUCUGAAAAAUUCCCUCAGUUUUGGUAUUUGGAAAGUUUAUUUAUGUUUCAUUUUUAAAAGAUAUUUUCACUAGACAUAGACUUCUAGGUUAGCAGUUUCAUUCCAUUAGCUUCUGCCUUACCUCAUUUCUUUUGAGAAAGUAGUUAAAAAUCUUACCAUUGUUCCUUUGAAAGCUAUGUGUUUUUUGCCUCUUUUUUAAGAUCUUUCUCAUUGUCUUUGGUCUAUAAGAUUGCUAGAUAUUUUUUUAUAUUUUUUUCUGCUUGUGAUUUAUAGCGAAACUGGCAAAAUUCUACAUUUGUAUAUGUUGAAAUAUUUCUUCUGUCCCAUUCUCUCUCUCUCUUCUUCUGGACUGUAAAUACAUUUGUUACUCUUUUCACUGUGUCCUUUACAUCCUUUAUGUUCUCUUCUAUUUUUGUUUAUCUUUCUCUCUGUGAUUCUAAUAUGUAGAAUCAUAUCUACUGAGUUUUUCCCCAGUUCAAUACUCAUCCUUUAGAUUGUUUCUAAUAUGCUCUGGGACCAAACCGUUUAUUGAAUUCUUAAUUUCCGUUUUUGUUUUCCCAGUUUUAUAUUUACACUGAAUUCUGUAUUGACUUCAGCUUUAUGUUGAACUUCUCCAUCUUUUCACAUAUUUUUUAGAACACAUUUUUAAAAAAUUUUUUACUUUAUUAUUUUUUUGGUGAGGAAGAUUGGCCCUGAGCUAACAUCUGUUGCCAGUCUUCCUCUUUUUGUUUGAGGAAGAUUGUCACUGAGCUAACAUCUGUGCCAAUCUUCUUCCAUUUUGCAUGUGGGACACUGUCACAGCCUACCUUGAUGAGCAGUGUGUAGGUCUGUGCCCAGGAUCUGAACCUGUGAACCCCAGGCCGCUGAAGUGGAGCACAUGUACUUAACCAAUACACCAUUGGGCUGGCCCAAGAACACAUUUAACAUAUGUAUCUUAAGGUAUGCAUUGAUAACUCCAAUAAUUAGAUCUCCUCUACAUUACUUUCUACUGUCUUUUUUCUCCCUUGCCUUUUGCUCAUUUUAUCCUUUUCGUGGAAUGCCUACUAUUUUUUUAUUUAAUGUAAUAGUUUUUAUAUUAAAAUUUGUUGCCAUAAUUUAAGUGCAUGGCAAAUGGUUUUUUUCCUUCAGAGAGGAUUUACUUUUACUUCUAAUGGACAAUUAAGGGAGGGCGAGAUCACCUUUAUCAAGUCUUGAUUUGAAAUUAUUUUAAAAAUGUGUUUCAUUCCUUUAGAGGGCUAAACUAGUUCUGAUUUCUCUUUAUUACUGGAGAGUGGUAUUUCAGGGGCCCCAACUCUAUGACUGGCAUGCUAGGGCUGUUCUUCCUUGACAGGACGUGAAUACCAUUUUUAUCUCUCUUAUUCCAUGAGAUUUCUGAAAGCUCAGUUUAUCUGUGAAGCCUACCAGCCACUGAUUUCUGUUUGAUUUACUAGUCUCUCUGUUACUGUUUAAAAGUUGGCAAACACCUCGACGGAAAAAGUGGAACUGAAUUUUGGUUAACUCCUUGUUCUUCAUUUUACCCCAGAAUCUUAGACCCUCAAAUCUUUAUUGUCAUAGUAAUUCUCCAAUCUAUUCAAAUAGAUUAUUUUUUAAAUCUUACUUUCCUAGUUGCUGUGGGCAGGAAUGUGUGUCUAUAAUGAAGUAGUCUGCUCUAUUUGGAAGACAAAGUCCCAAAAAUGUUUUGAAAAUGAGUGGGAAAUCACAAAGUUUCUGUGGCUAGGGGAGUCAAGCCACAUAGUUUAUAUACUCACUCAUUUCAUUCAUUCAUUCAAAAAAAGUUUUCUGAAUGUAUAUUCUAGGCAAAGCACUGUGGUGUAUGGAAAGGUAAAUGUGAUUUAUGAACCCUGAACUGAUGAAGAUAGUUUGCCUUCAAAAGAGGGGUAUGAUUAGUUUAACUCAUUGUACUUGUGGUUCAAAACAGAGAAAAAAAUCAUCUUCACCCUAACAACUUCUGACAGGAAAGACAAAAUAUGUGCACAUGCAUCUGUGAUAUAACAUAAACUGUUCUAAGUGCCAUGGAGGAGAUAAACAUAAAGGAAUGUGAGCAAAAAAUCAGAGAAAUGUGAGAAUAUUUCUAGAUUUGAAAGAUUCCAUAGAGCAGAAAGCAUUUAAAAUAAGCCUUGUAGACCAAGUUGAAUUUGGAUGUGCAAGAGAUGAAAGAAAGACAUAACAGGCAGAGGAAAUUAUGUUAGCAAAAUCACAUGGGUAGAAAAAUGUGAGGUAAGUUCUGUGAAUGAGUAGUAGAAUAGUUUGAGUGUGAUAUAGAGUACAUAGAGGGGAAUUUUGGGCUAUAGGUCUGAAAAGGAAGGGAGAUAGAUUCAAGAUCUUGGAGUGUCCUAAAUGCCAUUCUUAGGAGUUUACUUUUCAUUAUGACAGAUAUUUUACUGGACUAAAUAUUUUACUUCAUUCCUCCUGUACCAGUUAUUGAACUUAUCAUUUUAUUUUGUUUUCUUUUUCUUUAUUUCCACUGUGUUUUCUGACUACAUUUUCUUCAUCUAGGCCCUGGCAAAAUGGGAGAAGCACACAAUUUAUAGGUAGCUGUUGGUCAUAAUUUUGCCCAAGUAGAUAGUGGAAGAAGAAUUACAGAGUUAAAGACUUGAUAACUAUCUGAGUUGUUUAAUAGUGGAAUGAGAUGCCUUAUAUGGUCAUUAGCAGCCUAAAACUCUGCGAAUAAUGGCGGUAAAUCAAUAAGUGGUGUCAGUACUUAGUAUGAACUUUGCCUUAUUUAACAAUCAUGCUAUCAACCAAUAUUCCUUGAUUUUAGAAAGUGUGUAGGAAAUGUUUAGGUAAGCAGGACCUAAAAGCAGUAUAAGUAGAAAAAACUUAAAUUUUGGUGUGAGAACUAUGCAAACUAACCAGUUAUCUGUGCCUUGUCUCUAAUCAUCAUGAUGUAAAGCACUGGAACAUAGUAGAUACUCAACAAAUGUUUUACUUUAGAAAAAGAAAAAUGCCUUGUUGCCAUUUAAAUUAAAUAUUAAAUUAAAACAGUUAUACUAACCUUUUGCUCUUUAUUUGUUUAGAAGUAAGAAUGAGUCUUCUCUAAGCCAGCCACCUACUUUCUGCUAAUUUUUCUCUCUUUGUGGCACAGUAGCAUGAAUUUUCCAGAAGAAAAUAUAUAUGUAUCAUGAGAAGUGCCUGUAGAUUAGAGAAAUAGCAUGCCUCACGUAUCACUUACUACCACUGGAUUUGAUGUGCUUUAAAUUCAGUGAUUCUAAAUCUCAGGGGAUUCAGAAUGAUUGCAAAGUGUACAUGAAUAUAUUUGCACACAGACUGUUUGUUAUAGAUUGAACAAAGAGCAUAACUCAUAUAGUAAUAUGGUAUUAUUUUUCAAAUGUAUGUAGAUGUCCAUGUUGAGGUUUAUUUUUUUUCACAUGGAUCUCAAACUGUUCAAGCACCAUUUGUUUGACUAUCCCUUCUUCAUUGAAUUGCUUUUGUACAUUUGUCAAAAAUCAAUUGACCAUAUUUGUGUGGGUCUAUUUCUGGAUUCUGUUCUAUUCUAUUGAUCAGUGUUUAUUCCUUGCCAGUACCAUAGUGCAUUUUUGCAUAUCUUAAAAUCAGAGUGAAUCCUCAAAUUUUAUUGUUGUUAAAAUUUCUUUUGCUGUUACUGUUCGUUUGCCUUUCCGAACAAAUUUUCUUGUCAGUUUACAUGCAUCUCCAAAUUAUUGUAGGAUUUUGACGAAAAUUACAUUAAAUGUACAGAUUGAUCUGUGGAAAUUUGAAAUCUUGACUAUAUGAGUCAUGUUUUCUUACAUAUUGACAUAGUAAUUUUUUUAUGGAAAUACUGAAUAUUGUGAAUGUUACAUUGUUGAUUGUCUGAGUUUUGUCAUCUUCCAUGAAAGUUGUUUGAUUUUGUUUUGGAAAAAAAUAAGUAACUUGCAGAUCAAUUUGAUCCCCUCAAGGUCUGUUUUUAAUAUUUUCUAAGGGAAUUCUAGGUUAACCUUUACUCCAGGCAUAGUUGAAUUGUACUACUAAGGAGUGAUUCCUCUGGGGUUUCCACUGAAUGUCCCUGGGAUCACCAAGGACUCUCUGCUGUGACUGGUUGGAACU
rnacentral:lncRNA from 1 species